rnacentral:pre_miRNA from 1 species
CGGACGAAUCAUAAAUUUGAUUACAAGUUGAUUUGGAGUAGUACUAUGGUGUUUGGUACUCACAUAGUACGUUCCGAAUCAACUCGUUAACAAAUUUAAAUUCAACAA